UACGAAGGGGGCUAGCGUUGCUCGGACUCACUGGGCGUAAAGCGCACGUAGGCGGCUUUUUAAGUCAGGGGUGAAAUCCUGGAGCUCAACUCCAGAACUGCCUUUGAUACUGAGAAGCUCGAGUCCGGGAGAGGUGAGUGGAACUGCGAGUGUAGAGGUGAAAUUCGUAGAUAUUCGCAAGAACACCAGUGGCGAAGGCGGCUCACUGGCCCGGUACUGACGCUGAGGUGCGAAAGCGUGGGGAGCAAACAGG
rnacentral:rRNA from 1 species